GUUGCCAUCAUUAAGUUGGGCACUCUAAAGAGACUGCCGGUGUCAAACCGGAGGAAGGUGGGGAUGACGUCAAGUCCUCAUGGCCUUUAUGACCAGGGCUACACACGUACUACAAUGGCCGGUACAAAGGGCAGCGACACAGCGAUGCGAAGCCAAUCCCGAAAAGCCGGUCUCAGUCCGGAUUGGAGUCUGCAACUCGACUCCAUGAAGUUGGAAUCGCUAGUAAUCGCGGAUCAGCACGCCGCGGUGAAUACGUUCCCGGGCCUU
rnacentral:rRNA from 1 species